UACAGAGGGGGCAAGCGUUGUUCGGAAUUACUGGGCGUAAAGGGCGCGUAGGCGGCCUUCUAAGUCGAACGUGAAAUCCCCGGGCUCAACCCGGGAACUGCGUCCGAGACUGGAAGGCUUGAAUCCGGGAGAGGGAUGUGGAAUUCCCGGUGUAGCGGUGAAAUGCGCAGAUAUCGGGAGGAACACCAAUGGCGAAGGCAGCUCGCUGGGACGGUACUGACGCUGAGACGCGAAAGCGUGGGGAGCAAACAGG
rnacentral:rRNA from 1 species